AUGCUCACUUUGGCUCAGCACACAUACUAAAAUUGGAACGAUACAGAGAAGAUUAGCAUGGCCACUGCACAGGGGUGACAUGCAGAUUCAUGAAGCUGUCUGUGUUUUU
ensembl:snRNA U6 U6 spliceosomal RNA